UACAGAGGUCUCAAGCGUUGUUCGGAUUCAUUGGGCGUAAAGGGUGCGUAGGCGGCGCGGUAAGUCGGGUGUGAAAUCUUGGAGCUUAACUCCGAAACUGCAUUCGAUACUGCCGUGCUUGAGGACUGGAGAGGAGACUGGAAUUUACGGUGUAGCGGUGAAAUGCGUAGAUAUGACAUAGAACACCUAUUGCGAAGGCAGCUUACUACGCAGAUAUUGACGCUCAUGCACGAAAGCGUGGGGAUCAAACAGG
rnacentral:rRNA from 1 species